rnacentral:pre_miRNA from 1 species
CAAGUACUCCCUCCGUCUCGAAUUACUUGUCAUCAAAAUGGAUGUGUCUAGAACUAAAAUACGUCUAGAUACAUCCAUUUCAAUGACAAGUAUUUUCGGACGGAGGGAGUACAAG